UCUGCUCAGGACGAACGCUGGCGGCGUGCUUAACACAUGCAAGUCGAACGGAAAGGCCCGCUUGCGGGUACUCGAGUGGCGAACGGGUGAGUAACACGUGGGUGAUCUGCCCUGGACUCUGGGAUAAGCCUGGGAAACUGGGUCUAAUACCGGAUAUGACCUUACAUCGCAUGGUGUUUGGUGGAAAGCUUUUGCGGUUCAGGAUGGGCCCGCGGCCUAUCAGCUUGUUGGUGGGGUAAUGGCCUACCAAGGCGACGACGGGUAGCCGACCUGAGAGGGUGAUCGGCCACACUGGGACUGAGACACGGCCCAGACUCCUACGGGAGGCAGCAGUGGGGAAUAUUGCACAAUGGGCGCAAGCCUGAUGCAGCGACGCCGCGUGAGGGAUGACGGCCUUCGGGUUGUAAACCUCUUUCACCAGGGACGAAGCGCAAGUGACGGUACCUGGAGAAGAAGCACCGGCCAACUACGUGCCAGCAGCCGCGGUAAUACGUAGGGUGCGAGCGUUGUCCGGAAUUACUGGGCGUAAAGAGCUCGUAGGCGGUUUGUCGCGUCGUCUGUGAAAUUCUGCAACUCAAUUGUAGGCGUGCAGGCGAUACGGGCAGACUUGAGUACUACAGGGGAGACUGGAAUUCCUGGUGUAGCGGUGAAAUGCGCAGAUAUCAGGAGGAACACCGGUGGCGAAGGCGGGUCUCUGGGUAGUAACUGACGCUGAGGAGCGAAAGCGUGGGUAGCGAACAGGAUUAGAUACCCUGGUAGUCCACGCCGUAAACGGUGGGUACUAGGUGUGGGGCUCAUUUCACGAGUUCCGUGCCGUAGCUAACGCAUUAAGUACCCCC
rnacentral:rRNA from 1 species